CAGACAGACAGGCAAUAAAGUGAUCCUAUAAGGGUUCCUUUUUUCCUUUUGAGGUACGGAACCUAAAAAUCAGAUGCAUAUGCUAUUGCUCAAGUGAUAGUAGUCAUUAGGAGCCAGAUUCUAAAAUUACGUAAAGUUCAACUUAAAAUAAUAAUACAGCAAGUAACAGUGAAUAGUAAUCAGUAAUCACGAAACCGUCCUAAGAACGUGCGACCAACUUAUUUUUGCAUUGUUACUAAUAGAGAGUUGAAAUUUUCAGUGUGUAAUUUCUAUUGCCUCUAUAACAACAAAUAAUAAAUAAGAUGGCAAACUUCAAAAUGGUCGCCCUUCAAAUUAAAAAAAAAAACUUUUUACAUUGUAGAUAAUGGGUACAUACCACGAUAAUUUUAAUAUUUUAAUCGCAGAUUUUACGACUCAGUUGCAUGAGUCCAAUACCGAUCUACCCGCUUUCUUGGUCUUUUCGCGGGAACUUCACGAGCUGUCUCGGCAAUAUAAACUCACAACGUCACUAUUAACUAUGGAUGUCGUACGAUGCUGUCCUGGUUUGCAUAAUUCUACCACUGGAUUCCACAUACCUACACAACAAUA